rnacentral:rRNA from 1 species
UACAGAGGUCUCAAGCGUUGUUCGGAUUUACUGGGCGUAAAGGGCGCGUAGGCGGUCAGCACAAGUCAGUUGUGAAAUCUCCGGGCUUAACUCGGAAAGGUCAACUGAUACUGUGCGACUAGAGUGCAGAAGGGGCAACUGGAAUUCUCGGUGUAGCGGUGAAAUGCGUAGAUAUCGAGAGGAACACCUGCGGCGAAGGCGGGUUGCUGGGCUGACACUGACGCUGAGUGCGCGAAAGCCAGGGGAGCAAACGGG